rnacentral:rRNA from 1 species
AGGAUCAUUAUCGUAGAAUGGAGGUGCUGAGGUUGUUGCUGACUUUUGAAAGGGUUGUGCACGCCUCGGUGCUCUCACACAUAAUCCAUCUCACCCCUUUGUGCAUCACCGGCGUGAGGGCCCCCUUUUGGCUAGUUCUGAGGGGGGUUUUCAUGUUUUUACACAGACACCCUUUAAUGCAAUGUGUAGAAUGUCUUACUUUUUUUUUUGCGAUCACAUGCAAUUAAUACAACUUUCAACAACGGAUCUCUUGGCUCUUGCAUCGAUGAAGAACGCAGUGAAAUGUGAUAUGUAAUGUGAAUUGCAGAAUUCAGUGAAUCAUCGAAUCUUCGAACGCACAUUGCGCCCAUUAGUAUUCUAGUGGGCAUGCCUGUUCGAGCGUCAUUUCAACCCUUAAGCCCAGCUUAGUGUUGGGAAUCUACUUCUUUUAUUAGUUGUAGUUCCUGAAAUACAACGGCGGAUUUGUAGUAUCCUCUGAGCGUAGUAAUUUUUUUCUCGCUUUUGUUAGGUGCUACAACUCCCAGCCGCUAAACCCCCAAUUUUUUGUGGUUGACCUCGGAUCAGGUAGGAAUACCCGCUGAACUUAA